UACGAGGGGGGCGAGCGUUGUUCGGAAUUACUGGGCGUAAAGCGCGUGUAGGCGGUUGCCAUAGUCAGGUGUGAAAGCCUUGAGCUCAACUCAAGAAAUGCACUUGAUACUGGGCGACUAGAGGACCGGAGAGGAUAGUGGAAUUCCCAGUGUAGUGGUGAAAUACGUAGAGAUUGGGAAGAACACCAGUGGCGAAGGCGGCUAUCUGGACGGUUUCUGACGCUAAGACGCGAAAGCGUGGGGAGCAAACAGG
rnacentral:rRNA from 1 species